CUAUGACCAUACCACCCAGAAUGUACCCUAUUUCUUGUACCUUGGAAGCUAGUCAGGAUCAGGCCUGGCUAGUACUUGGAUGAGAGAUCACCUGACAACACCAGGUGCUACAUGGA
rnacentral:rRNA from 1 species